UACGUAGGGUGCAAGCGUUAAUCGGAAUUACUGGGCGUAAAGCGUGCGCAGGCGGUUUUGUAAGUCUGUCGUGAAAUCCCCGGGCUCAACCUGGGAAUUGCGAUGGAGACUGCAAGGCUAGAAUCUGGCAGAGGGGGGGUAGAAUUCCACGUGUGAGCAGUGAAAUGCGUAGAGAUGUGGAGGAACACCGGAUGGCGAAGGCAGCCCC
rnacentral:rRNA from 1 species